rnacentral:rRNA from 1 species
CCUGAUGCAGCCAUGCCGCGUGUGUGAAGAAGGCCUUCGGGUUGUAAAGCACUUUCAGUCAGGAGGAAAGGUUAACGGUUAAUACCCGUUAGCUGUGACGUUACUGACAGAAGAAGCACCGGCUAACUCCGUGCCAGCAGCCGCGGUAAUACGGAGGGUGCGAGCGUUAAUCGGAAUUACUGGGCGUAAAGCGUACGCAGGCGGUUUGUUAAGCGAGAUGUGAAAGCCCCGGGCUCAACCUGGGAACUGCAUUUCGAACUGGCAAACUAGAGUGUGAUAGAGGGUGGUAGAAUUUCAGGUGUAGCGGUGAAAUGCGUAGAGAUCUGAAGGAAUACCGAUGGCGAAGGCAGCCACCUGGGUCAACACUGACGCUCAUGUACGAAAGCGUGGGGAGCAAACGGGAUUAGAUACCCCGGUAGUCCACGCCGUAAACGAUGUCUACUAGAAGCUCGGAGCCUCGGUUCUGUUUUUCAAAGCUAACGCAUUAAGUAGACCGCCUGGGGAGUACGGCCGCAAGGUUAAAACUCAAAUGAAUUGACGGGGGCCCGCACAAGCGGUGGAGCAUGUGGUUUAAUUCGAUGCAACGCGAAGACCUUACCUACACUUGACAUACAGAGAACUUACCAGAGAUGGUUUGGUGCCUUCGGGAACUCUGAUACAGGUGCUGCAUGGCUGUCGUCAGCUCGUGUUGUGAGAUGUUGGGUUAAGUCCCGCAACGAGCGCAACCCCUAUCCUUAGUUGCUAGCAGGUAAUGCUGAGAACUCUAAGGAGACUGCCGGUGAUAAACCGGAGGAAGGUGGGGACGACGUCAAGUCAUCAUGGCCCUUACGUGUAGGGCUACACACGUGCUACAAUGGCGCAUACAGAGUGCUGCGAACUCGCGAGAGUAAGCGAAUCACUUAAAGUGCGUCGUAGUCCGGAUUGGAGUCUGCAACUCGACUCCAUGAAGUCGGAAUCGCUAGUAAUCGCGUAUCAGAAUGACGCGGUGAAUACGUUCCCGGGCCUUGUACACACCGCCCGUCACACCAUGGGAGUGGGUUGCUCCAGAAGUAGAUAGUCUAACCCUCGGGAGGACGUUUACCACGGAGUGAUUCAUGACUGGGGUGAAGUCGUAACAAGGUAGC